CGCUGAUGCCGCGGGCCGCAAGGUGUGCUCGGCCGGGCCGUGUUUGCGCGGGUGCCCGGGCAGCGCUGCGCUCCCCGGCAGCGCUGCGCUCGGCCCAGGGCUAUAAUUAGAUUAGCAGCCUGCUCGGCAGCGGUGCCAGCCUGCGAGCCUCAGCGAGCAUGUGCUGGAUUCUGCAUGUGCCUCCCGCUUAUUGGCGGCCGGCGUUGCUGCCUGCCGGUUUGAUAGGUUUCCCCAGUAAUCUUUAUGCUGCAUUACAGACAUAGAUACAGAGAGGUACUGCGUGCAUGCAACGGGAGAGGUGCUCAGCUUGUAGCGUAAAGGAAAGCCCACAGAUGAAAGGCACUGGUCUUUGUUGCAAGGCAUCAGUACUUAAGGACUGCUAGCCUGGGAGCGGAGAGGUCAGUGAAGGAGUUUUACUUGGUGAGUCCUCUGGAGCAUUACAUUCCCCUGUUUGGAGUGUGGACAAGAGUUUGGCAUUCUGCUUUUACAGAUCACUGCCGCUCGCUCCUGGAGCGCAGGGGGACGGCCAGACUCCCACAUCUUUCAGCGAGAAGAAAGGAGCCAGCGGAGCGGACUAAUACGGACUUGUGUCGGGUACCCUUGCCCUACAAAGGCUGCCUUUAAAAGAGAAACGCAGUGCUAUUUAAUGAGCUGUGAGAUGAGGCACUGCUGCUAACACUCAGAUCCCAGGAUUCAUCGGCUAUUCAUUGUGCUUAAUGUACAUGUUUCUGCACCGUGCAUUUAGGAGAUCCCAGAGAAGAAUCCAAAACGGCUG
rnacentral:lncRNA from 1 species